rnacentral:rRNA from 1 species
CACGGGGAUCAGCGGGGACGAAGUCUGACGGAGCACGCCGCGUGAGUGAUGAAGGCUUUCGGGUCGUAAAACUCUGUUGUUAGGGAAGAACAAGUACGAGAGUAACUGCUCGUACCUUGACGGUACCUAACCAGAAAGCCACGGCUAACUACGUGCCAGCAGCCGCGGUAAUACGUAGGUGGCAAGCGUUAUCCGGAAUUAUUGGGCGUAAAGCGCGCGCAGGCGGUUUCUUAAGUCUGAUGUGAAAGCCCACGGCUCAACCGUGGAGGGUCAUUGGAAACUGGGGAACUUGAGUGCAGAAGAGAAAAGCGGAAUUCCACGUGUAGCGGUGAAAUGCGUAGAGAUGUGGAGGAACACCAGUGGCGAAGGCGGCUUUUUGGUCUGUAACUGACGCUGAGGCGCGAAAGCGUGGGGAGCAAACAGGAUUAGAUACCCUGGUAGUCCACGCCGUAAACGAUGAGUGCUAAGUGUUAGAGGGUUUCCGCCCUUUAGUGCUGCAGCUAACGCAUUAAGCACUCCGCCUGGGGAGUACGGUCGCAAGACUGAAACUAAAAGAAAUUGACGG